UGAUGGGCUGAAUAAUUUUGAAGCUCAAU
rnacentral:piRNA from 1 species